UACGUAGGGUGCGAGCGUUGUCCGGAAUUACUGGGCGUAAAGAGCUCGUAGGUGGUUUGUCGCGUUGUUCGUGAAAACUCACAGCUUAACUGUGGGCGUGCGGGCGAUACGGGCAGACUGGAGUACUGCAGGGGAGACUGGAAAUUCCUGGUGUAGCGGUGGAAUGCGCAGAUAUCAGGAGGAACACCGGUGGCGAAGGCGGGUCUCUGGGCAGUAACUGACGCUGGAGGAGCGAAAGCGUGGGGAGCGAACAGG
rnacentral:rRNA from 1 species